GACAUAGGUCGCAAACGUUAUCCGGAAUUAUUGGGCGUAAAGCGCUCGCAGGUGGUUCGUCGCGUCGUGCGUGAAAGACCCCGGCUCAACUGGGGGAGGUCGUGCGAUACGGGCGGACUGGAGGCCAGUAGGGGGAUGCGGAAUUCCGGGUGUAGUGGUGGAAUGCGUAGAGAUCCGGAGGAACACCAGCGGCGAAGGCGGCAUCCUGGACUGGUCCUGACACUCAUGAGCGAAAGCGUGGGGAGCGAUCCGG
rnacentral:rRNA from 1 species